GGCCAUAGCAGGCUACAAGGACAGCCAGAUGAAGCACUACCAUAAUGCACCGCCCCGCGACCAGACUUCAGUGGGCAUUCUGGGAAAAAGAGUUUCAGUCCCGCCUCCAUUUCCCCGCCCACCCUCAGCCUCCUUCUAGCCCCGCAGUGCCUUUCCCCUCCGCUCUUCCCCUUCCUUCUUGGCAGGAGAACGAAGGCUUUGUCCUAUUCGAUUUAUCUCUAGCUUAGAUUCUCUGACUUUGAUUAAGAAGGUUAAGGAGGAAUGUAAUUGGCCAAAUCAAGAUCCUGUCCAGCCUCAGACCUCAGUUUCCUCCUCUGUAAAAAGGGCAGGUUCGGCUUCUUGACCACAAGCAUCCCUGAGCCUUCAGGCUGGUGCCCCACGUUCUUGCCUGAGAGUCUGAAUGGGAAGGAUGGAGUUACAGCCACCGAGACCCUUGGAUUGUUGCACCGGACCCGUGUACCGGCCCCUCUUCAGCCCUGCGGGUCCUCACCCGCUCUAACCCCUGUAGACCCGGCUCCUGCCUGGUCUCUCUGGCAGAGCGGCAGAGGCCCCCAACAUCACUAGCACGAGGGGGUCCCUCAGGCUCCCACGGAGAACGACCCUUCCCCGCCGGCUCCCUUGGGCCCAGGCAUCCGGCCUCACGCCUGUUCUCUGCUUUCACUAAAGAUGGUCACCACGGACGCUGGUCCUGAAGCCCCGAGGACCUACUGCUGCGACAGAGGAAGGGUCCGAGUCCAGAUUCGAGCCCAGGAACCCCCCCCCCCUUCCCCGCCCUAGGCCUGGCACUCCCUACUGAGCCUCCCAGCCUCCCCCUAAAGAUAAAUGUUAAAAAAAAGAAAUAAGAAAUGGCCCUUCCAAAGAGCAAAUCCUUUAUAGCUGAGGUCAGUACAAAAAGGGUGCCGUCAUUGGUCACGUGCCCUCAGAUAACGCCACAGAAAAGAUCCGCUGAAAAGUGAUCCGGAGGAAAUGACAUCCUGCUCCCAGGAGAACAAUCAGCACCAAAGGGCUUAAUAUCCGGGUAGAGAGGAUGGAGAGUGCAGACUGGGUGAAAGGAAAGUCGGGGAGCCCACGUGCCUGGUAACCUGGACAGAGCACGUCCCAGCUUGGGCUUGGAACUCAAGGCUUCGCCCCCCCCUCCCCCCCCUUAGCUUGCAAUGGACAAAGACUGCCCUGCCUGGGCUCCAGGUUGGCAAGGAUCCAUGGGAUUGGAGUGAAACUCUGCCCAUGAGGGCAUCCUGCAGUGGGAAGCUAAUGGCGUUCUGAAAUGACUGAUUCUGCCCAUUCGCGUCUGUAGAUUUUCUCACUGCAAAGCUCAGCCUUUCUGGGGAAGAAACUCAGAAGCAAAGAUCCACUGGUGAUGGUGCCUGUGAUGUACAGCAGAGAGUCCACACUGGAGGGAAACCCUAGGAAUGUAAUCUGUAUGGUAAAACAUUCACCCGGAGGCCCAGGCUUACUGUGCACCAGAGUAUCUCCAUGGGGAGAAAACUUGGGAAUGAUAUCGCUGAGGAAAAACUGUCUGAAGCAGGUCUCUCUCUCUGCCUCUCUGUCUCUGUCUCCCUCUCUCUGUCUCUGUCUCUGUCUCUGUCUCUGUGUCUCUGUCUCCCCCCUCUAUCUGUCUCCCUCUCUCUGUCUCUCUUUGUCUCUGUGUCUCUCUGGGUCUCCCCCUCUAUCUGUCUCCCUCUUUGUGUCUCUCUGUCUCUGCUUCCCUCUCUCUUGUCUUCCCCUCUCUCUGUCUGUCUCUCUUUUUAAACCCUUACCUUCUAUCUGAGAAUCACUACUGAGGGGGCAGCUAGGUGGCUCAGGCAUUAUAAAGCCACGCCUGAACAGGAGAGGUCCUCAGAUCCAAUCUGACCUCAGACACUUCCUAACUGGGUGACCCUGAGCAAAUCACUAAACCCUUGUUGCCUAGUCCUCACUGCUCUUCUGCCUUGGAACGAGUAAUCAGUACUUUAGUGCUUAUCCUUUUUUUUUUUUACAUAAAUACUUACUAUAGAAGCAAUACAAAGUAUUAGAUCUAAGGCAGAAGAGUAGUAAGGGCUAGGCAAUUAGGGCUAAGGGAUUCGCUCAGAGUCACACUUACAUCCCUCCUUAACCUUCUCCUUCUUUUUUAAACACUUACCUUCUGUCUUGGAGUCAAUACUGUGUGUUGGCUAUGGGCUGGUAUGGGCUAGGCAAUGGGGGUCAAGCGAAUUGUCCAGGGUCACACAGCUGGGAAGUGUCUGAGGCAACAUUUGAACCUAGGACCUCCUGUCUUUAGGCUUGGCUCUCAAUCCACUGAGCUACCCAUCUGCCCCCACCUCCUUAACCUGCUUAAUGUCAGAGAAUCCAAGCUGGAGCUAAACUUUUCGAAUGUUAUCAGUAUGGAAAAUCUGUCAGCUAUCAGAAGAAUAGUGGUAUCCAUCUGAGCAUCCAAGCUAGAGAGAAUCCUUUUGAAUGUAAUCAUUGUGAAAAGGCUGGACAUAGGUACAGUCUUUCUGUACUUCAUCAGAGAAUCUACACUAUAGAAAAAUUUCAUGACUGAAAUCAAUGUUAGAAGUCCUUUACAAAGAAGGUUGGUUUUACUAUAUAUUACCAUGAUGGUAAACCUAUGACACAUUGUAGGAUUUGAGAAAAUCCCCCAAGAAUGGAGACACGGAGACAAUGCAAGAGGAAGAAACCAACAAGAAAGUUCAACGGCUGAGAUGGCGAUGCAGCAAGGCACUGUGGAGUGCUUAGGGCGUGAUGGAGCACAAAAGACAACACGGCCAUCCAAUGCAGCUGAGGAAGUCUCCAGGUGUAACGACUUUUCGUGCCACUGGACCCAGGCUUCCAACGCCGAGAGAGUGGGACUGUCUCUGUGCAUCCACUCAUCCACUUAAAUCUUCAUGCACAGGUGUCUUUGUGCACAAAAACGCACAAAGACAAUUGUCAUCCUCAGUUUGAGAGACAACCAACAACAACAAUAAUCCUAUGGUGCCACUGCCAAAAGAAGGAACUUAACCACAGCUAAACCACUAAGAGAAGACUACACUGAACCUUUUAUUUGUGGGAAGUAUUCCUUUUGGCACAAGAUGGCCCUGUAAUACAGAAAAACUCUUUCAGAAAAUGCUAUAUUUUGUUUAAUAUUUCCAAGCAGAUAAUUACUAACUGCUAAGCAGUAUUUUCUGAUUCUUUUAAUUCUGUAAUACUAGUUGCAUAUGGAGUAUUCUAAAAGAUAGUUGGAGCUUGCCUUUAAGUGUUCUUAACCUAAAUUGGAACUUCUGUAAAGAUUUCCUACACUCUAAAGGUUUCCAAUACAAAAACUAGUAUGUAUAUACAUAAGCCACAGAAACAUACGUUUACCAAACUAUUUAAAAAUGAAUAUUUUUUCUAUUUAAAAUAUUGUUUAGCUUGAGACUUUGUUAGUACAUUUGUAAAAGCAACUCAGAUCCAUUAAGGUUUAUAAUUAUUUUUUGUAACAGGGGAUUGUUUGUACAACUGAAAUGGCACUUACAGUAAAUGUUAAUACUUGAUAAAA